CCAGCACUCUGGGAAGCUGAGGUGGGCAGAUCACUUGAGGUCAGGAGUUAGAGACCAGCCUGGCCAACAUGGUGAAACCCCAUCUCUACCAAAAAUAUAAAAAAUUAGCCGGGUGUGGUGGCAUACACAUGUAAUCCCAGCUACUUGGGAGGCUGAGGCAGAAGAAUCGCUUGAACCCAGGAGGCGGAAGUUGCUGUGAGCUGAGAUGGA
rnacentral:lncRNA from 1 species